AGUAGUAACCUGCUGUUUACGCAGUGGGAAAAUGGCUUUCAGCAGGUUGUAAGAUGGACUUGAGAUAUGCGUCUCUCAUUCCAGUGUUGCUCCUCCUAAAUCAGCCACCAGUCUAUUUGCUUAGAUGGGUCAUGGUCACUAUAGAAUUUAACUCAUGUUUGAAGCACACAUAGAUCAGAAAAUUUAUACAAAAAGCUUGUAUUCCUCUCACAAUUUUUGAUCUUCUUGUCCUUCUGGCUUCGUCCUGCAGCCUUAGCUAUUCUGUUGCCAAAUUUCUGCUUGUGUUCAUAUAGAUUUUGAGCAGAAUUAUACAAAAUCCUCCUGCGUUGUACAAAAAUCAUGCAAUAGUAUUUUAUUUUCAAAAUA